GACGAACGCUGGCGGCGUGCUUAACACAUGCAAGUCGAACGGAAAGGCCCUGCUUUUGUGGGGUGCUCGAGUGGCGAACGGGUGAGUAACACGUGAGUAACCUGCCCUUGACUUUGGGAUAACUUCAGGAAACUGGGGCUAAUACCGGAUAGGAGCUCCUGCUGCAUGGUGGGGGUUGGAAAGUUUCGGCGGUUGGGGAUGGACUCGCGGCUUAUCAGCUUGUUUGUGGGGUAGUGGCUUACCAAGGCUUUGACGGGUAGCCGGCCUGAGAGGGUGACCGGCCACAUUGGGGCUGGGAUACCGCCCAGACUCCUACGGGGGGGAACAGGGGGGAAUAUUGCACAAUGGGGGGAAGCCUGAUGCAGCAACGCCGCGUGCGGGAUGACGGCCUUCGGGUUGUAAACCGCUUUCGCCUGUGACGAAGCGGGAGUGACGGUAAUGGGGAAAGAAGCACCGGCUAACUACGUG
rnacentral:rRNA from 1 species